AUUGAACGCUGGCGGCAGGCCUAACACAUGCAAGUCGAGCGGAGCGUCGGACGGGUGAUUAACACGUGGGUGACCUGCCCUUCACUUCUGGACAAUCCUGGGAAACUGGGUCUAAUACCGGAUAGUGUGGGAUGGGCCCGCGGCCUAUCAGCUUUGUGGUGGGGUAAUGGCCUACCAAGGCGGCGACGGGUAGCCGGCCUGAGAGGGUGGACGGCCACAUGGGGACUGAGACACGGGCCAGACGCCUACGGGAGGCAGCAGUGGGGAAUAUUGCACAAUGGGAGGAAGCCUGAUGCAGCGACGCUGCGUGGGGGAUGACGGCCUUCGGGUUGUAAACUCCUUUCACCAUCGACGCGGUAGAUGGAGAAGAAGCACCGGCUAACUACGUGCCAGCAGCCGCGGUAAUUC
rnacentral:rRNA from 1 species